AAAUGCACAGGCUGUGAACUCGAAGAGUAGGGCGGGACACGUGGUAUCCUGUCUGAAUAUGGGGGGACCAUCCUCCAAGGCUAAAUACUCCUGACUGACCGAUAGUGAACCAGUACCGUGAGGGAAAGGCGAAAAGAACCCCGGCGAGGGGAGUGAAAAAGAACCUGAAACCGUGUACGUACAAGCAGUGGGAGCACCUUCGGGUGUGACUGCGUACCUUUUGUAUAAUGGGUCAGCGACUUAUAUUCUGUAGCAAGGUUAACCGUAUAGGGGAGCCGCAGGGAAACCGAGUCUUAACUGGGCGUUAAGUUGCAGGGUAUAGACCCGAAACCCGGUGAUCUAGCCAUGGGCAGGUUGAAGGUUGGGUAACACUAACUGGAGGACCGAACCGACUAAUGUUGAAAAAUUAGCGGAUGACUUGUGGCUGGGGGUGAAAGGCCAAUCAAACCGGGAGAUAGCUGGUUCUCCCCGAAAGCUAUUUAGGUAGCGCCUCGUGAACUCAUCUUCGGGGGUAGAGCACUGUUUCGGCUAGGGGGUCAUCCCGACUUACCAACCCGAUGCAAACUACGAAUACCGAAGAAUGUUAUCACGGGAGACACACGGCGGGUGCUAACGUCCGUCGUGAAGAGGGAAACAACCCAGACCGCCAGCUAAGGUCCCAAAGUCAUGGUUAAGUGGGAAACGAUGUGGGAAGGCACAGACAGCCAGGAUGUUGGCUUAGAAGCAGCCAUCAUUUAAAGAAAGCGUAAUAGCUCACUGGUCGAGUCGGCCUGCGCGGAAGAUGUAACGGGGCUAAACCAUGCACCGAAGCUGCGGCAGCGACACUAUGUGUUGUUGGGUAGGGGAGCG
rnacentral:rRNA from 1 species